GACGAACGCUGGCGGCGUGCUUAACACAUGCAAGUCGAACGGAAAGGCCCUGCUUUUGUGGGGUGCUCGAGUGGCGAACGGGUGAGUAACACGUGAGUAACCUGCCCUUGACUUUGGGAUAACUUCAGGAAACUGGGGCUAAUACCGGAUAGGAGCUCCUGCUGCAUGGUGGGGGUUGGAAAGUUUCGGCGGUUGGGGAUGGACUCGCGGCUUAUCAGCUUGUUGGUGGGGUAGUGGCUUACCAAGGCUUUGACGGGUAGCCGGCCUGAGAGGGUGACCGGCCACAUUGGGACUGAGAUACGGCCCAGACUCCUACGGGAGGCAGCAGUGGGGAAUAUCGCACAAUGGGCGGAAGCCUGAUGCAGCAACGCCGCGUGCGGGAUGACGGCCUUCGGGUUGUAAACCGCUUUCGCCUGUGACGAAGCGUGAGUGACGGUAAUGGGUAAAGAAGCACCGGCUAACUAC
rnacentral:rRNA from 1 species